GACGGACGCUGGCGGCGUGCCUAAUACAUGCAAGUAGAACGCACAGUUUAUACCGUAGCUUGCUACACCAUAGACUGUGAGUUGCGAACGGGUGAGUAACGCGUAGGUAACCUGCCUGGUAGCGGGGGAUAACUAUUGGAAACGAUAGCUAAUACCGCAUAAUAUUAAUUAUUGCAUGAUAAUUAAUUGAAAGGUGCAAUUGCACCACUACCAGAUGGACCUGCGUUGUAUUAGCUAGUAGGUGAGGUAACGGCUCACCUAGGCGACGAUACAUAGCCGACCUGAGAGGGUGAUCGGCCACACUGGGACUGAGACACGGCCCAGACUCCUACGGGAGGCAGCAGUAGGGAAUCUUCGGCAAUGGACGAAAGUCUGACCGAGCAACGCCGCGUGAGUGAAGAAGGUUUUCGGAUCGUAAAGCUCGGUUGUAAGAGAAGAACGGGUGUGAGAGUGGAAAGUUCACACUGUGGCGGUAUCUGACCAGAAAGGGACGGCUAACUACGUG
rnacentral:rRNA from 1 species